rnacentral:rRNA from 1 species
CAACCCGGGAUUGCCUUAGUAACGGCGAGUGAAGCGGCAAAAGCUCAAAUUUGAAAUCUGGUACCUUCGGUGCCCGAGUUGUAAUUUGGAGAGGGCAACUUUGGGGCCGUUCCUUGUCUAUGUUCCUUGGAACAGGACGUCAUAGAGGGUGAGAAUCCCGUGUGGCGAGGAGUGCGGUUCUUUGUAAAGUGCCUUCGAAGAGUCGAGUUGUUUGGGAAUGCAGCUCUAAGUGGGUGGUAAAUUCCAUCUAAAGCUAAAUAUUGGCGAGAGACCGAUAGCGAACAAGUACAGUGAUGGAAAGAUGAAAAGAACUUUGAAAAGAGAGUGAAAAAGUACGUGAAAUUGUUGAAAGGGAAGGGCAUUUGAUCAGACAUGGUGUUUUGUGCCCUCUGCUCCUUGUGGGUAGGGGAAUCUCGCAUUUCACUGGGCCAGCAUCAGUUUUGGUGGCAGGAUAAAUCCAUAGGAAUGUAGCUUGCCUCGGUAAGUAUUAUAGCCUGUGGGAAUACUGCCAGCUGGGACUGAGGACUGCGACGUAAGUCAAGGAUGCUGGCAUAAUGGUUAUAUGCCGCCCGUCUUGAACC